rnacentral:rRNA from 1 species
AUACGGAGGGUACAAACGUUGUUCGGAAUUACUGGGCAUAAAGCGCGCGUAGGCGGUUAAAUAAGUUGGAUGUGAAAUCCCCGGGCUCAACCUGGGAACUGCAUUCAAAACUGUUUAACUAGAGUAUGGUAGAGGGAAGUGGAAUUCCAGGUGUAGCGGUGAAAUGCGUAGAUAUCGGAAGGAACAUCAGUGGCGAAGGCGACUUCCUGGAUCAAGACUGACGCUAAGGUGCGAAAGCGUGGGGAGCAAACAGGAUUAGAUACCCCAGUAGUCC